rnacentral:rRNA from 1 species
AUUUAAAGAAAGCGUAAUAGCUCACUGGUCGAGUCGGCCUGCGCGGAAGAUGUAACGGGGCUAAACCAUGCACCGAAGCUGCGGCAGCGACGCUUAUGCGUUGUUGGGUAGGGGAGCGUUCUGUAAGCCUGCGAAGGUGGCCUGUGAGGGUUGCUGGAGGUAUCAGAAGUGCGAAUGCUGACAUAAGUAACGAUAAAGCGGGUGAAAAGCCCGCUCGCCGGAAGACCAAGGGUUCCUGUCCA